GCGCCGGUAGCUCAGCUGGAUAGAGUACUAGACUACGAAUCUAGUGGUCGGAGGUUCGACUCCUUCCCGGCGCACCA
rnacentral:tRNA from 1 species